AGAGUUUGAUCCUGGCUCAGAGCGAACGCUGGCGGCGUGCUUAACACAUGCAAGUCGAGUGCGCGGUAGCAAUACUGGCGCACGGCGCACGGGUGCGUAACACGUGGGCAACCUGCCCUUCAAUGGGGGAUAACCCCGCGAAAGCGGGGCUAAUACCGCAUGAUAUUCCUGGGACUCCUGUUCCGGGACUCAAAGGUCGCAAGAUCGUUGAAGGAGGGGCCCGCGCCCGAUUAGCUAGUUGGUGAGGUAACGGCUCACCAAGGCUAUGAUCGGUAGCCGGUCUGAGAGGAUGGCCGGCCACACUGGAACUGAGACACGGUCCAGACUCCUACGGGAGGCAGCAGUGGGGAAUCUUGCGCAAUGGGCGAAAGCCUGACGCAGCGACGCCGUGUGGGGGAUGAAGCUUCUCGGAGUGUAAACCCCUUUCGACCCGGACGAAACGCCCGCAAGGGCUUGACGGUACGGGUAUAAGAAGCCCCGGCUAACUACGUGCCAGCAGCCGCGGUAAGACGUAGGGGGCCAGCGUUGCUCGGAAUUACUGGGCGUAAAGGGUUCGUAGGCGGUGUGGCAAGUCGGGAGUGAAAUCUCUGGGCUUAACUCAGAGGCUGCUUCCGAAACUGCCGUGCUAGAGUGCGGGAGAGGCGAGUGGAAUUGCAGGUGUAGCGGUGAAAUGCGUAGAUAUCUGCAGGAACACCCGUGGCGAAGGCGGCUCGCUGGACCGCAACUGACGCUGAGGAACGAAAGCUAGGGGAGCAAACAGGAUUAGAUACCCUGGUAGUCCUAGCCCUAAACCAUCAGACUUGGGGUGCAUCCCGUUCGGGGUGCGUCCCGGAGCUAACGCGUUAAGUCCUGCGCCUGGGAGUACGUCGCAAGGCUGAAACUCAAGGAAUUGACGGGGCCCGCACAAGCGGUGGAACAUGUGGUUCAAUUCGACGCAACGCGAAGAACCUUACCUGGGCUUGAACUG
rnacentral:rRNA from 1 species